AAAUUGAAGAGUUUGAUCAUGGCUCAGAUUGAACGCUGGCGGCAGGCCUAACACAUGCAAGUCGAACGGUAACAGGAAGAAGCUUGCUUCUUUGCUGACGAGUGGCGGACGGGUGAGUAAUGUCUGGGAAACUGCCUGAUGGAGGGGGAUAACUACUGGAAACGGUAGCUAAUACCGCAUAACGUCGCAAGACCAAAGAGGGGGACCUUCGGGCCUCUUGCCAUCGGAUGUGCCCAGAUGGGAUUAGCUAGUAGGUGGGAUAACGGCUCACC
rnacentral:rRNA from 1 species